CACAAGAAACCCAAAUUAACUGUAGUACGGCGUAAAGAGUGGUACCAUGCUAUCCCAACAACUAAGAUCAAAGUGCAACUAAGCCGUCAUAAGCCCAAGAUGCAUCUAAAAACACCCUCAAGACGAUCUUAGCACCUCCGACUAAUUAAAUCCCACGAAAGCUAGGGCACAAACUGGGAUUAGAUACCCCACUAUGCCUAGCCCUAAAUCUUGAUACUCCCUCCCACUAAAGUAUCCGCCCGAGAACUACGAGCACAAACGCUUAAAACUCUAAGGACUUGGCGGUGCCCCAGAUCCACCUAGAGGAGCCUGUUCUGUAAUCGAUAACCCACGAUACACCCAACCCCCCCUUGCCAAAACAGCCUAUAUACCGCCGUCGCCAGCCCACCUCCCCUGAGAGUCUAACAGUGAGCGAAAUAGCCCCACCCCGCUAGCAAGACAGGUCAAGGUAUAGCCUAUGGGGCGGAAGAAAUGGGCUACAUUUUCUAAGAUAGACAACUUCACGGAAAGGGACAUGAAACCGUCCCCAGAAGGCGGAUUUAGCAGUAAAGCGGGAUAAUAAAGCCCCCUUUAAACCGGCCCUGAGGCACGUACAUACCGCCCGUCACCCUCCUCACAAGCUAUAUACAUGCGUAACUAACUCCUACUCACCAGCUGAAGACGAGGUAAGUCGUAACAAG
rnacentral:rRNA from 1 species